GCCAGAGUGGUGUAGUGGUUUGGGUGUUGGACUACAACUCUGAAACCAGGGUUCAAUUUCCAGCUUGGCCA